rnacentral:rRNA from 1 species
UACGUAGGCAGCAAGCGUUGUCCGGAAUUACUGGGCGUAAAGAGUUCGUAGGCGGUUUGUCGCGUCGUUUGUGAAAACCCGGGGCUCAACUUCGGGCUUGCAGGCGAUACGGGCAGACUUGAGUGUUUCAGGGGAGACUGGAAUUCCUGGUGUAGCGGUGAAAUGCGCAGAUAUCAGGAGGAACACCGGUGGCGAAGGCGGGUCUCUGGGAAACAACUGACGCUGAGGAACGAAAGCGUGGGUAGCAAACAGG